CCCGCCGCUUGUGUAUGACUCUACAUGCAAGUCGAGCGGUAACAGAUCCAGCUUGCUGGAUGCUGACGAGCGGCGGACGGGUGAGUAAUGCAUAGGAAUCUACCCAGUAGUGGGGGAUAACCUGGGGAAACCCAGGCUAAUACCGCAUACGUCCUACGGGAGAAAGGGGGCUUCGGCUCCCGCUAUCGGAUGAGCCUAUGCCGGAUUAGCUGGUUGGUGAGGUAACGGCUCACCAAGGCGACGAUCCGUAGCUGGUCUGAGAGGAUGAUCAGCCACAUCGGGACUGAGACACGGCCCGAACUCCUACGGGAGGCAGCAGUGGGGAAUAUUGGACAAUGGGGGCAACCCUGAUCCAGCCAUGCCGCGUGUGUGAAGAAGGCCCUCGGGUUGUAAAGCACUUUCAGCGAGGAAGAACGCCUAUCGGUUAAUACCCGAUAGGAAAGACAUCACUCGCAGAAGAAGCACCGGCUAACUCCGUGCCAGCAGCCGCGGUAAUACGGAGGGUGCAAGCGUUAAUCGGAAUUACUGGGCGUAAAGCGCGCGUAGGUGGCUUGAUAAGCCGGUUGUGAAAGCCCCGGGCUCAACCUGGGAACGGCAUCCGGAACUAUCAGGCUAGAGUGCAGGAGAGGAAGGUAGAAUUCCCGGUGUAGCGGUGAAAUGCGUAGAGAUCGGGAGGAAUACCAGUGGCGAAGGCGGCCUUCUGGACUGACACUGACACUGAGGUGCGAAAGCGUGGGUAGCAAACAGGAUUAGAUACCCUGGUAGUCCACGCCGUAAACGAUGUCGACCAGCCGUUGGGUGCCUAGCGCACUUUGUGGCGAAGUUAACGCGAUAAGUCGACCGCCUGGGGAGUACGGCCGCAAGUUAAAACUCAAAUGAAUUGACGGGGCCCGCACAAGCGGUGGAGCAUGUGGUUUAAUUCGAUGCAACGCGAAGAACCUUACCUACCCUUGACAUCUACAGAAGCCGAGAGAGAUCUUGGUGUGCCUUCGGGAACUGUAAGACAGUGCUGCAUGGCUGUCGUCAGCUCGUGUUUGUGAAUGUUGGUUAGUCCCGUAACGAGCGCACCCUUGUCCUUAUUUGCAGCGAGUAUUGUCGGACUCUAAAGAGACUUGCGGUGACAACUGAGAGUGGGACGACGUCAAGUCAUCAUGCUACGGUAGCUACACAAAUCUCAAUGGCGUUACAAGGCGCGGACCUCCGGAUUCACGAAUCCUAGCCGUCCAGUCCGGAAUCGAAUUCGCCACCUCGUACUUCCGUGAA
rnacentral:rRNA from 1 species